AACGCACCUUGCGCUCCUUGGUAUUCCGAGGAGCAUGCCUGUUUGAGUGUCAUUAAAUUCUCAAUCUCUACAACUUUGUGUUGUCUAGAUUGGAAGUGGGGGCUCUUGUGUGGAAUCUAAUUCCUCACUCCCCUUAAAUGUAUUAGCUGGAAUGCCUCUGCAUAUCUGACUAUCAGUGUGAUAAUUAUCUAUACUGUAGUUGUUGCUCGAGGGUAUCUGCUUCAUCAAUCGUCGAAAGACAAUUCUAUAUGACCAUCUUGACCUCAAAUCAGGUAGGACUACCCGCUGAACUUAA
rnacentral:misc_RNA from 1 species